rnacentral:rRNA from 1 species
GAUUGAACGCUGGCGGCAGGCCUAACACAUGCAAGUCGAGCGGAUGAAGGGAGCUUGCUCCUGGAUUCAGCGGCGGACGGGUGAGUAAUGCCUAGGAAUCUGCCUGGUAGUGGGGGAUAACGUCCGGAAACGGGCGCUAAUACCGCAUACGUCCUGAGGGAGAAAGUGGGGGAUCUUCGGACCUCACGCUAUCAGAUGAGCCUAGGUCGGAUUAGCUAGUUGGUGGGGUAAAGGCCUACCAAGGCGACGAUCCGUAACUGGUCUGAGAGGAUGAUCAGUCACACUGGAACUGAGACACGGUCCAGACUCCUACGGGAGGCAGCAGUGGGGAAUAUUGGACAAUGGGCGAAAGCCUGAUCCAGCCAUGCCGCGUGUGUGAAGAAGGUCUUUGGAUUGAAAAGCACUUUAAGUUGGGAGGAAGGGCAGUAAGUUAAUACCUUGCUGUUUUGACGUUACCAACAGAAUAAGCACCGGCUAACUUCGUG